UCCCCUUGACUUCCAUGGAUUCAAAGAGACACUGCAAGAGGUGGAAAAGAAAAUUCCCCCUUCUCUCCAAUUACAUUUUUCCUCUCAUCUCCUCCUACAUUUCAGUUUCUAGCCCAGACUGUAUAAAAGAAGAAAAUGAAGAGACACCCUGUUGUAGAAUCCAUCUCUAAGUCCUUACUCCUGGAGGAAGACAACUUCCUUCAGAAAGAGGCAGAGAAAGCCAGGCACCCCAAGGGAUCAAGAUGGGAGGCAAAGGGAAGCCUAAGGGCUCUGCCCCCUCACUUACUGGGGAAUAAGUUCUGCUUCUCUGUGCUCCCUGUCCCUGAGCCCUGCCUCUGUGGGUGUAGUCUAAGGACCAAAGCAGUGCUGCACCCCCGGCCCCCUCCAGUUUCCCGCCCAGCCUCUCAGGUGCUCCCUAGCUUGUCAGCAGGGAAGAAACAGCUGUCUCCUCCAGUGGUUAUCUUGAGGGCUCAACUCUCCCAGAGUUCUCCAAAGCCCAAGGACAAGGCCAAGGCCAAGUCGCAGCUCCUAUCUUGGGAUGGGUCAAGAACUUCCUGCAAUGCCAUACCACUACGCAAGCUGGUACCCAUGGGCGUGUGGCCCCAGGGACUUCUUGACCCACUCCCCCAGUCCUUGCCAGAUAAAUUACUGCAUACUAUAUCCCAUUGGGAGGGAGCCAUCUCCCCAGCCAAGGAGCCAUCUCUCCAAUGAUACUACUUGUGGGGUGUGACAAAUCCCAG